UGAGUACGAGCUGCUACGGCAGCGAAGUGGGUGAUGUCAAGCUUCCAAGAAAAGCCCUAUACCCGUUAAGGCAUGACGGCCUGUACCCGAAACCGACACAGGUGGGGUGGUAGAGAAUACCGAGGGGCGCGAGAUAACUCUCUCUAAGGAACUCGGCAAAAUGGCCCCGUAACUUCGGGAGAAGGGGUGCCACCGCAAGGUGGUCGCAGUGAAGAGGCCCAGGCGACUGUUUACCAAAAACACAGGUCUCCGCUAAGUCGCAAGACGAUGUAUGGGGGCUGACGCCUGCCCAGUGCCGGAAGGUUAAGGAAGCUGGUCAGCGCAAGCGAAGCUAGCGACUGAAGCCCCGGUGAACGGCGGCCGUAACUAUAACGGUCCUAAGGUAGCGAAAUUCCUUGUCGGGUAAGUUCCGACCCGCACGAAAGGCGUAACGAUCUGGGCGCUGUCUCGGAGAGAGGCUCGGCGAAAUAGAAUUGUCUGUGAAGAUGCGGACUACGUGCACCCGGACAGAAAGACCCUAUGAAGCUUUACUGUAGCUUGGUAUUGUGCCCGGGCUCUGAAUGCGCAGGAUAGGUGGGAGGCUUUGAUCCAUUGCUUGUGGGUGAUGGUGAGCCACUGGUGAGAUACCACUCUUUCAGAGCUAGGGUUCUAACGGUCACCCGUUAUCCGGGGACCGGACAGUAUCAGGUGGGCAGUUUGUCUGGGGCGGUCGCCUCCUAAAAGGUAACGGAGGCGCGCAAAGGUUCCCUCAGGCUGGUUGGAAAUCAGCCGAUGAGUGUAAAGGCAGAAGGGAGCUUGACUGUGAGACCUACAAGUCGAACAGGGACGAAAGUCGGCCUUAGUGAUCCGACGGUUCUGAGUGGAAGGGCCGUCGCUCAACGGAUAAAAGUUACUCUAGGAUAACAGGCUGAUCUCCCCCAAGAGUUCACAUCGACGGGGAGGUUUGGCACCUCGAUGUCGGCUCAUCGCAACCUGGGGCUGAAGUCGGUCCCAAGGGUUGGGCUGUUCGCCCAUUAAAGCGGUACGCGAGCUGGGUUCAGAACGUCGUGAGACAGUUCGGUCCAUAUCCGGUGCACGCGCAGGAACAUUGAGAGGAUUUCUCCCUAGUACGAGAGGACCGGGAGGAACGCACCUCUGGUGUACCAGUUAUCGUGCCAACGGUAAACGCUGGGUAGCCAUGUGCGGAGCGGAUAACCGCUGAAAGCAUCUAAGUGGGAAGCCCACCUCAAGAUGAGUGUUCCCAUGGCAUAAGCCAGUAAGGUCACGGGAAGAACACCCGUUGAUAGGCUCUACGUGGAAGCGUGGCAACACGUGAAGCGGAGGAGUACUAAUAGACCGAGGGCUUGACC
rnacentral:rRNA from 1 species